GGCUAUCUCCCGUACGGUGAUGCCGUGCGAACCGGGUCAGACGGGAAACCGAGCAGCCCUAAGUACCGUGCACUCAGGUGUGCGCGGAGGUAGCCUUU
rnacentral:SRP_RNA from 1 species